rnacentral:rRNA from 1 species
UACAGAGGGUGCGAGCGUUAAUCGGAAUUACUGGGCGUAAAGCGUGCGUAGACGGCUAUCUAAGUCGGGUGUGAAAGCCCCGGGCUUAACCUGGGAAUGGCGUUUGAAACUACGGAGCUGGAGUGUGGCAGAGGGAGGUAGAAUUCCACGUGUAGCGGUGAAAUGCGUAGAUAUGUGGAGGAAUACCGAUGGCGAAGGCAGCCUCCUGGGCCAACACUGACGCUCAUGCACGAAAGCGUGGGGAGCAAACAGG